rnacentral:sRNA from 2 species
GUUUAGCCCUGAUGGGAGCGGCAUCUCCCGAUUUAGAAAAACAAGGCUUUUUUGCCGUAGUUUUUCUAAAUCGGGAAUAUAGCGGACAGCAGGAACCCAA